GCGGUGGAUGAUGUGGUUUAAUUCGAUGCAACGCGAAAACCUUACCCACCUUUGACAUGUACGGAAGCCUUUAGAGAUAGAGGCGUGCUCGAAAGAGAGCCGUAACACAGGUGCUGCAUGGCUGUCGUCAGCUCGUGUCGUGAGAUGUUGGGUUAAGUCCCGCAACGAGCGCAACCCUUGUCAUUAGUUGCUACAUUCAGUUGGGCACUCUAAUGAGACUGCCGGUGACAAGCCGGAGGAAGGUGGGGAUGACGUCAAGUCCUCAUGGCCCUUAUAGGUGGGGCUACACACGUCAUACAAUGGCUGGUACAAAGGGUUGCCAACCCGCGAGGAGGAGCUAAUCCCAUAAAGCCAGUCGUAGUCCGGAUCGUAGUCUGCAACUCGACUACGUGAAGUCGGAAUCGCUAGUAAUCGUGGAUCAGAAUGUCACGGUGAAUACGUUCCCGGGUCUU
rnacentral:rRNA from 1 species